UACGUAGGGACCAAGCGUUGUUCGGAUUUACUGGGCGUAAAGGGCGCGUUAGGUACGGCGUGGUAAGUCACUUGUGAAAUCUCUGAGCUUAAACUCAGGAACGGUCCAAGUGAUACUGCUGUGCUAGAGUGCGGAAGGAGCAAUCGGAAUUCUUGGUGUAGCGGUGAAAUGACGUAGAUAUCAAGAGGAACACCUGAGGUGAAGACGGGUUGCUGGGCCGACACUGACGCUGAUGCGCGAAAGCCAGGGGAGGCAAACGGG
rnacentral:rRNA from 1 species